rnacentral:misc_RNA from 1 species
AAAGAUCACCAGUGAUAGUAUGUGUUCUCUUUGCAACAAGAAAAUUGGAACAAGUGUUUUUGCAGUCUAUCACAAUGGGAAAACGCUCGUGCACUUCGUAUGCUUUAGGGACUCGCAGAGUAUGAAAGCUAUGGCGAAAGGCACACUACCAAGCAAGCGAUGAAAUUGUGCAUUCACAUGCAGUUUGAGAAUGAAAGUUUUUCUUUGAACAGAUUUAAGCUGCAAUUAUGCUUCUCCUACGGAGGCAAAGUGGUGCUAGCAAAACUAGUAUCUGCAUGCAGGGAUGAUGAGAUUUGUGAUUUUCAUUCGGCGUUGAACCAUUAUAUGUACAUAUAUUGGUUUGUAGAUAGCUGUAGAUGUGUGGUUUGCAUUCUGAAAAACGCUGGUUCUAAUAUGAUGAGAGUGUUUUAAGGUUCCCUGGUCCUAUAAAAGUUGCUUCUGUUGUAAAAAUAGUUUGAUUUCCAGCUGCAUGUCAAUUGCAUUGCACCACUGCAGGUUGUGAACAAAUUUUUCCUUCUUAAAAAAGAUAACAUUCUGUAAUUGUCCUUCCAAUUAUACACCAAUGAUUCAAAUUUCAAGUGUAAUGGAACGUCCUUCAACAGAUAAAAGACAUUCACAUUCAUAGCAUUGAUAAUGACUGUCCAGCCCGCAAGUUUUUACGCCUGGGAAACGAAACCGCAAACCAGAACUCCAACUCUGGACCCCUCGCACGGGCUGUCCGCGUGACUAAACUCCAUCAAACCAUUUCUUUGCCCUCUUGAGGAACACGCAAUUCUUCUUCCACCUCCUCAAAUGACCCACAGCAAACGCCUUUUUCUUCUUCCUCUUCUCUUUGCUCAUGGCCAUCAGCAUACGCGUAUAGCAGAGGCUCACACAAAUGAUCAUGGUAAACCACAUCUGAUGCCAAUAUUAGAUCAAAAUCCGUUCCUAUAAUCUCCACGUCACCAUCACCAUCCUCUUCUCACUUGAGCAGCGCCACUUUAACUCUCCCGCAUUCAAGAACUAUCACUUGAGCAGCGCCACUACCGACACGGACAGUGUUGAAGCCAAGCUCGAGUACGUUGAUUGGAGUGUUCGAUGAUAAGGCGGAGAGAGAGCUCGAGUACGUUGAUUGGAGUGUUCGAUGAUAAGGCGGAGAGAG